rnacentral:rRNA from 1 species
CCUACGUGGGGCAGCAGUGAGGAAUAUUUGUCAAUGGGCGGAAGCCUGAACCAGCCAAGUAGCGUGCAGGAUGACGGCCCUACGGGUUGUAAACUGCUUUUAUACGGGAAUAACGCGCCUUACGUGUAGGGCUUUGCAUGUACCGUAUGAAUAAGGACCGGCUAAUUCCGUGCCAGCAGCCGCGGUAAUACGGAAGGUCCGGGCGUUAUCCGGAUUUAUUGGGUUUAAAGGGUGCGCAGGCGGAAGCGGCAAGUCAGCGGUAAAAUUGCGGGGCUCAACCUCGCCGAGCCGUUGAAACUGCUCUUCUAGAGUGGGCGAGAAGUAUGCGGAAUGCGUGGUGUAGCGGUGAAAUGCAUAGAUAUCACGCAGAACUCCGAUUGCGAAGGCAGCAUACCGGCGCCCAACUGACGCUCAUGCACGAAAGCGUGGGUAUCGAACAGGAUUAGAUACCCUUGUAGUC